GUUCUACUGCGGCGUUGGUGACUGCCAACAAAGUUUUAUGAUCUUGCUUUGUUGUUAAGGGAGCUUAAAUAAGUUCAGUGGCAGUAUACCGGGCAUGUUCUCGGAAACUUUAAACUGAUCAGCGGCUCCCACCUGGGUAUUCCAGGUCAAAAACUGAGGUAAGACGGCGCUGCGGGGAACA
rnacentral:other from 1 species